UACGAAGGGGGCUAGCGUUGUUCGGAAUUACUGGGCGUAAAGCGCACGUAGGCGGAUUGUUAAGUCGGGGGUGAAAUCCUGAGGCUCAACCUCAGAACUGCCUUCGAUACUGGCGAUCUUGAGUUCGGAAGAGGUUGGUGGAACAGCUAGUGUAGAGGUGAAAUUCGUAGAUAUUAGCUAGAACACCAGUGGCGAAGGCGGCCAACUGGUCCGAUACUGACGCUGAGGUGCGAAAGCGUGGGGAGCAACAGGGAUUCAAGAUACCCUGAGUCCCAGUACCAAU
rnacentral:rRNA from 1 species